GGAUGUGAGGGCGAUCUGGCUGAGACAUCUGUCACCCCACUGAUCGACAGGGUUGAUUGACUAGGCUGUCCUCCCUCACUGCUCGGUCAAAGAGGGUGACCUUCCCGGAACAGAGGAGGACUGGUCUUCAGUCAAGGAUGCCUGUAGCUGCACCCCCCCUGCUAGGGCCGCCAAACAAGCUCUCAAGAACUACAAAGUUUCAAAGCUGCAUGCUUUGGUACAAUCUUGGUUUUUAAUUUGGAAGGACAGUCUGU
rnacentral:snRNA from 1 species